AGAGUUUGAUCCUGGCUCAGAAUGAACGUUGGCGGCGUGGAUUAGGCAUGCGAGUCGCGCGAUAAUGUAGCAAUACAGGACAGCGGCGAAGGGGAGAGGACAACAUAGGAAUCUGCCCUGGGGUCGGGGAUAGCGUCGGGAAACUGACGGUAAUACCCGAUAAUAUCCAAGGAUCAAAGGAGCAAUUUGCCCCGGGAUGAGCCUAUGCCCCAUUAGCUAGUUGGCGGUGUAAUGGACCACCAAGGCUGUGAUGGGUAGCUGGUGUGAGAGCACGACCAGCCUCACUGGCACUGAGACACUGGCCAGACACCUACGGGUGGCUGCAGUCGAGAAUCUUCGGCAAUGGACGAAAGUCUGACCGAGCGACGCCGCGUGUGGGAUGAAGGUCUUCGGAUUGUAAACCACUGUCGAGGGGGAUUAAGGGAAACUUGAAAGAACCCUGGAGGAAGGGGAGGCUAAGCUCGUGCCAGCAGGCGCGGUAAGACGAGCUCCCCAAACGUUAUUCGGGAUUACUGGGCUUAAAG
rnacentral:rRNA from 1 species